AUGAGGGGAAAAUAAAAGAGACAGAGGAAGAAUGGAUCUUCAGAUGAAAAGAAAGAUAUGUGGAGUUUACUUGUAAUAUGAUGGAGGUGGUGGUGACUUAUACAUAUAUGGGGGUGGAGAUUCAUACUUGUAUGGAGGAGGUGGUGGUGACUUGUACACAUAUGGAGGUGGAGGUGGUGACUUGUACACAUAUGGGGGUGGAGGUGGUGACUUGUACUCGUAUGGAGGAGGUGGUGGUGACUCGUACUUGUAUGGAGGGGGAGGUGGUGACUCAUACUUGUAUGGAGGAGGUGGUGGUGACUUGUACACGUAUGGGGGUGGAGGUGGAGACUCAUACUUGUAUGGAGGUGGAGGUGGUGAUUUGUACACAUAAGGAGGAGGAGGUGGUGACUCAUACUUGUAUGGAGGAGGUGGUGGUGACUUGUACACAUAUGGGGGUGGAGGUGGUGACUUGUACUUGUAUGGAGGAGGAGAUGGUGACUCAUACUUGUAUGGAGGUGGAGGUGGUGACUCAUACUUGUAUGGAGGAGGUGGUGGUGACUUGUACACGUAUGGGGGUGGAGGUGGAGACUCAUACUUGUAUGAAGGUGGAGGUGGUGAUUUGUACACAUAAGGAGGAGGAGGUGGUGACUCAUACUUGUAUGGAGGAGGUGGUGGUGACUUGUACUUGUAUGGAGGAGGUGGUGGUGACUCAUACUUGUAUGGAGGAGGUGGUGGUGACUUGUACACGUAUGGAGGUGGAGGUGGAGACUCAUACUUGUAUGGAGGAGGUGGUGGUGACUUAUACACAUAUGGGGGAGGAGGUGGCGACUCAUACUUGUAUGGAGGAGGUGGUGGCGAGUUGUACAUGUACGGGGGUGGAGGCGGAGACUUAUACUUAUAUGGAGGAGGUGGUGGUGACUUGUACAUAUAUGGAGGUGGAGGUGGUGACUCGUGCUUAUAUGACAGAGGUGGUAAUGACUUGUACGUAUAUGGAGGUGGAGGUGAUGACUCGUACUUAUAUGGCGGAAGCAAUGGUGGCUCGUACAUGUAUGGUGAAGGUUGAGGUGAUAUAUAAUAGUAUGGAGGUGGUGCAUCGUAAGCAGGCUCAUCCUCAGCAGCUACAUUAUUGAUUAUCAAGCACAAUGCCAAGGCAUAGGCUAAAUGUGGCCAAAUCUUGGCCAUUUUGGGGAACAAGGCUCUUAAAACUGCACUAAGUUUCACUUGUAUGCCAAAUAAAUAAAGGACUUCCUGUUUCUGAUUUGUGAUCUCCCAAUGGAGGGCUUGAAGUUUAUAUAGCAAUCUCACCAAUAUUUUAAAGAAAUUUAACUUGGUGUAUAUGAAACUUCCAACCUUUACUUAACCAUUAAAUUAAAUCCAUAUGUGCUCAAAUGUAAUAUGAAAUUAUUAACUAUUGAAAAAUGAAAUUGACAUUCCACUAACUCGUGCUAGACUUUUGUACUUCAACCAUGAAGUAGUCAACACAAUUUGUACUUGAAAUGUUCUUAGCAAACAUUACAUAUUAAAAAUUAUGCAUAACUUUAAUUUUAUAUCCAAUUUCCUAUUUCACAAAAUCGAAGUACCCUUAGAAUUAUUAUAAUAGACUUCAUUUUUAAAUUUUUAGAUCUAAUUAUAGAUUGGCACCUCUACUAUGUGAAAGUUGGGAUUUAAUCUUUCCAAUUUAAUUUUGCCUAAUUUGGUUCAUUCGCUUUUUUAAUGUUAUUAAUAUGUUUAAAUUGAUAAUACCGUUAAAUUGAUGUUAUAGAAUUUAAAAAAAAAAACCCCUUUAACAUUCAAUUGACAUAUAAAUUUGUUAUUAUUUGAACAUGAUUGAUCGGAUAUCUAUGUAGUUGCUGUGUGACAGAAUAACAGUAAAACUAAUUCACUACUUUAAGAGCAAUAUCUAAGAGUGCUAUCAUUGUAGACCUACUAAAAAUAUUAUAAAAGUAUAGAGAUCAAACUAUGUUCAACUGAAAUAAAGAGAUUAAAUCUCAAAUUUUUAGUAUAGUAGAAGGACUAAUAUAAUAAUUAAACUUUUUUUACGGAAUCAAAUUUGGUUUUAUCUUUAUUUCAAUUUGGAUAUUGUGUAAUGGGAGAUAUAAUUUCUUUUAGGGUUAAAUCAUUAUUUUAGGCUUGAACUUGGUAAUUUUGCUUACAUUGGGGUUUGAAAUUUUUUUUGUCUAAAUCAAUCCUUGAACUCGGUAAUUAUUUCCAUAUUGAGGUCUGAAUUUGACAAUUGUUCCCACAUUGGAGCUUAAACGUUAGGGUUUUUAAGGACUAACUUAGACAAAAAAAAAAUUUCAAGCCCCAAUGUACGAAUAAUUACCAAAUUCAGGGCUUAAUUUGUAUAAAAAAGUCCAGACCCUAAUUUAAGAACAGAUACUAAAUUUAAGGCAGGAACAAAAAGUUCUCAUUAUGGUGAAAAAGUAAGAAUAGAAGCAAUUUGAAGAAAAGAAAAUUAUGAAAGGCUCAGUAAACGUUUGCCUAAGUCCAACUGAACAGGUAAACUCCUCCCUUGGACUAUGUCACAGUGAACAUAUAUAAUAUUUAUAAAUUUCAUUUUGGGUUUGUUGGCAAUGUCAAUUUGGUAUUUUAUUAAAAUUAUAAAUUAAAAGUAGACCAAAUCACUGGUAGAGUUAUAACAACGUUUCGAUAUCAACUUUUAUUAAUUGUGUUCAUAUCAAUCUUAUAUUUAAUCUCUAAAUAAUUAUUGUUGAUUGAGUCUUAAUCCGAUUAGCAUUGAUAUUGUUGUUAAUGUAGGAGGACGUGGGCUCGAGUGUGUUAAAGCGCAUUAUCCUCUUAUUGAAGGGUUGGAGACGGGCUAUUAAUUACUUUAGAUUUGGUACAAAAAGAACAGAUAUGAUAAAAACUUAUACUAAGAAUAAUGUUUAAAAAAACCCUCUUAAAUAACUCUUACGGUUUGAGUUUUGACUUUGUAUUUUGAUUUUAUCUAUUUAAUAUGUAUUUUAAUUAUAUAAUAUUUUUUUAUUCUUUUAUCCUAUAAAACAUCUAUCACACUAGAGUCUACAAAACUUCUUGAGUGAUUUAUGAGAUAAUUUUUCUUAGUAUAUAUAUUAUGGCAUCAUUAUAUAAAUAAUAAUACUGUAUUUAUAACUCAUUAAAAAAAUUAAAUCAAAUAAAAAUUAUUAUUUUAAGUGAUUUAUUUUUUAAGUAUAUUUGAAAAACGAUAUUGAAAAACAAAUGAUAGAAUUUUUCAAUAUAAAAGUGGAGAAAAUGAUAAGAAUAUAAGGAGUUACUUAUCACUCAAUAUAAAAUUUUUUUUCUAAUUUUAUUUCUUUUAACACUAUCCUUUAAAUACUUCACCUUUAAUUUUUUUUAAAAUAUUUAUCAAAUAAUUUAAUUUUAUUCCAUAGUUAAUUUUAAGUAAUAAAUUAAACAUAUUUUAUAACUCAAAUUUAAUUCUUAAUGUUUUAGUACUUAAUUAAUAUAUAAUAUUAUAGGAUAUAUAUUUAAAAACGUAAGGAAAUAUAUUAAGUUAUCGAUAUUUCAAGUUUUUUUUUCAGGGAGAGUUAUAUACUAAUUGGAUUUGGGUAUAAUUGUUUGUAAUUAUGUAUGUGUCAGGUAGCUAUUAUUAUUAGUGAACCUCAUUGAAUUGAAUGUAAAUGAAGUACCCCAGUUAUAAUCUUCGAGGGAGGGUGAGAAUUGAAGUAAUCACACUUGAAUCCAAUUACAUUUUUGCAUUCCAAACAGACUCAUCCAUUAUUUAAGUUAAUGUAUAGCUAGUGAUCACUUUAAUGCGCUUUGGGAUAGGAAAGUAAGUAGGGAUAAUGUUGGACCUUGUAAACAUUUUCAGAACUUGAUGUUUUGUCAUGGAUUAAUGGACAUGGGAUUCAAAGGCUCGAAAUUUACAUGGAGUCGGGGUAGCUUAUUAGUAAGGUUGGAUUGGGGAGUUUGUAAAAGAAGGUAGGACAAUGUGUUUCCUGAAACAUCCAUUUACUAUUCAGAGUUUAGGUUUUAUUAAAAUAUAAAGACAUAAAAGUAGGAGGAAUUCAACAUGAUGGUGCUGAGGCUGCGAAAGAGUGGAAUAAGUUGAUGUUUGAGAGUAUAGGGGUUCUCAAGAAGAUGAUCACGGUUAGAUUGAGGGGCAUUCGACAAGUACAUGAAACAUUUAAACCUUGUUGCUUGGUUAAUUUAAAAGGCAAAUUAAGAGAAGAAUUAUAAAGAAUACUAGACUGCGAAGAAGUAUAAACCCUAAACCUUAAAUCAAACCAGUUUCAUUGCGUGUCGGAAUGUAAGUGAUAACAUCAUCACCCAGGCAAGAUGGGAUGGAUAGCUAUCAAAUUUUAUUUGGUUUCUUGAUGCAAAUUUUCCGAGAAGAAUAAUUAGAAUCAUACUGCAUUAUAUUUCUAUAAUCUCUAUGCGACUGGAGGAAUUGGACAAGGAGGUUGGUCAUGGUGUUAUACGAAAGAUUAACGGUAACGAAAUUAGUCAAAUUAGUCACUCCACCGUUAAAUGAUAAUGAAAAAUUAAUGGUGCAGUUAUAUGAAAAAAUUAGGUGACUAAAAUAGAAAUGAUUCUUAUUUAGAGUGACUAACAGGUAGUUUAUUCAAAUUUCAGAAUGAAAAACAUAGAAAUGAAUUGUUAAAUUUUUAUUAUCAUUUGACGAUUGAGUGACCAAUUUAAUUAAUUUCAUUGGUCAACUUAAUAAAAUAAAAUUUUUAUUUAAAGUGAUUAAUGAGAUGAUUUACUUGUUCCUAUUUGCUACUAAUUGCAAUAAAAAUCAAUACAAGGCAAACAAAUGCUAGCACGAUUAUAUAUAUUGAAUGGUUAAGCACUUUGUUUAUUUAUUUAUAAUAUUUGGAGAUAAAGUCAAUGGCUCUCGGUAGUUGAUUGAUCAAGAAUUGAGAAGUUUGUCUAUGGAUCAGACAUGGUUUAGAUGGAAAAAUGUGAAGAUUUUUCUUUUUAAAGUUGACAUUCAUUGAAUUUUUGUUAUUGAAAUUUAAAAAAAAAACACUAUUUGUCGAUUGAGUCUUAGCUUAAUUGAUAUGGAUAGUAUGUGAAUUUGAGUGUAAUGAAGCGCAUUAUCCUCCUAUUUAUGGGUUGGAGAGAGGUUAUGAGUAGUUUUGAAUAUUGUGUUAAAAAGAACAGAUAUGAUCAAAACCUAUAACGAGAUUAUACAUUUCAUGAUCCACUUUUAAUCUCAAGCUUCUAACUUGAAAUUAUGUAGGAUUAUAUUUUACUUAAUCUAAUCUUUAUAAAAUUUAGAAGAUUAAUAUAUCAAAUGAUACUCGAAUUUAAUUUUAAUAUACGUGAUAUUUUUUUUUCCCAAUUAAAUAUCUUAAUUUUGUUUCUAUUACUAAAAGCGAUACCAAAGUAAAUGGUAUUAAAUCUUUAAAUUUGAGUCAAUGGAAACAAGACUCACGUAUUAAAAAAAUUAUAUAAUUUUGUAUGUUGAUUUUUAUAUUGAAAUUUUUCAGUAAAUGAUUUUUUACAGAUAUUUUAUAAUAAAUAAAAUAAAAUAAAAUAAAAAUAUUUUUAAAUUAAAAAAUUCAAAUGGAUCCCAAAUUUUCUAAAAAAAUCUAUUUAGAUAAAAUCAUCAAAUAAUUUUAGACAAGUUUAUUUAUAAUUAUGUAUUUGGGCCAUGAGAAAUGGAGUUCAGUAACCCAACACUUAAGCAAACCCAGAAAAAAUGCUAAAACUAAAUUCAUGCUGUGGCAACUCAUAGUCCUUUUAAAGCCCCAAAAUAAAUCGAGGUCCAAUAAAUCAUUCAAACCACAAAAACCAUAAAGCUGGAGUUUUAAUACACUAGUUAGCAAUAAAUUAAAUUUAAUCCGAAAAUUUUCAUUAUUCGUAUGACUUAUUAUAAAUUUUUUAUUCAUAUUUCUAAUUUUAAGUUUAAAUUUAUGUUAAUUAUUCAAUAUGUGGUGACAAACUAUUUUAACAUAUAUAUUAAAUAAUUUUUUGUUCUUAAUGUAAUAAAUUAUUGAGUAUUGGUUAAUUAUAGUCGAGUUCAUUCAUAAUUCUCAAGUAAAAUAUGUAGAAGAAAACAUAGUAUAGGCUAUUGCUUUUUUUUUUUUGGAUUAAGAAUUUAAUGAGAGGAUUGUUAAUGACUUAAAUUUUUUAAGUAAAGAAAUCGAAUUGCAUAUAUAUUACAAAAAAGGAUCAAGAAUCAAAUGAUUUCCUCCAACAAUUUAUUAUUCAUUUAUUCAUUCAACAAUGUGACAAACAUCAACAAUAAUUUCAAAUAAGUGAAACGAGCAAGAACUUCAAAGAAAGUAAGAAAUAAUGUUCCAAGAAAUUAUAUAUUGGCUUCCCUGAACUUGGAAAAGCUCUUGAUUUGGUUGAAAAAUGGUUGCGGUGUUGUUUCUCAGUGAUGAGAAAAAUGAGAGGGAGGCGGUGGAAUCUUUUAAUAGUAUGGCGGUAGAAUAAUGGAGUUGUAAACAAGAGGUGGUGUCGAGUUGUAAACAUAAGGAGGAAGGCGUAAAAGAGAUGGUGAAGGUGGAGGUGGAGGUGGAGACUAGUAAAUGUAAGGAGGAGAAGGUGAUGGAGAUGGUGGAGGUGGUGACUUGUAGACAUAUGGUGGAGGUGAUGGGGAAAAUGGUGGAGGUGGGGACUUGUAGACAUAUGGUGGAGGUGGUGAGAGAGAUGGUGGAGGUGGAGACUUGUAGACAUAUGGUGGAGGUGGUGAGGGAGAUGGUGGAGGUGGAGACUUGUAGACAUAAGGAGGAGGUGGUGAGGGAGAUGGUGGAGGUGGUGAUUUGUAAACAUAAGGUGGAGGUGGUGAGGGAGAUGGUGGAGGUGGGGACUUGUACACAUAGGGUGGAGGAGGUGAGGGAGAUGGUGGAGGUGGUGACUUGUAGAUGUAAGGAGGAGGUGGUGAGGGAGAUGGUGGAGGUGGUGACUUGUAGGUGUAAGGUGGAGGUGGUGAGGGAGAUGGUGGAGGUGGUGACUUGUAGGUGUAAGGUGGAGGUGGUGAGGGAGAUGGUGGAGGUGGGGACUUGUACACAUAGGGUGGAGGAGGUGAGGGAGAUGGUGGAGGUGGUGACUUGUAGAUGUAAGGAGGAGGUGGUGAGGGAGAUGGUGGAGGUGGAGACUUGUAGACAUAUGGGGGAGGUGGUGAGGGAGAUGGUGGAGGUGGAGACUUGUAGACAUAUGGUGGAGGUGGUGAAAGAGAUGGUGGAGGUGGGGACUUGUACACAUAGGGUGGAGGUGGUGAGGGAGAUGGUGGAGGUGGGGACUUGUACACAUAGGGUGGAGGAGGUGAGGGAGAUGGUGGAGGUGGUGACUUGUAGAUGUAAGGAGGAGGUGGUGAGGGAGAUGGUGGAGGUGGAGACUUGUAGACAUAUGGGGGAGGUGGUGAGGGAGAUGGUGGAGGUGGAGACUUGUAGACAUAUGGUGGAGGUGGUGACUUGUAGAUGUAAGGAGGAGGUGGUGAGGGAGAUGGUGGAGGUGGUGACUUGUAGGUGUAAGGUGGAGGAGGUGAAGGAGAUGGUGGAGGUGGUGAUUUGUAAACAUAAGGUGGAGGUGGUGAGGGAGAUGGUGGAGGUGGUGACUUGUAGAUGUAAGGAGGAGGUGGUGAGGGAGAUGGUGGAGGUGGAGACUUGUAGACAUAUGGUGGAGGUGGUGAGGGAGAUGGUGGAGGUGGAGACUUGUAGACAUAUGGAGGAGGUGGUGAGGGAGAUGGUGGAGGUGGAGACUUGUAGACAUAUGGGGGAGGUGGUGAGGGAGAUNNNNNNNNNNNNNNNNNNNNNNNNNNNNNNNNNNNNNNNNNNNNNNNNNNNNNNNNNNNNNNNNNNNNNNNNNNNNNNNNNNNNNNNNNNNNNNNNNNNNAGGUGAAGGAGAUGGUGGAGGUGGGGAUUUGUAGAUGUAUGGAGGAGGAGGCGAAGGAGAUGGUGGAGGAGGUGACUUGUAGAUGUAAGGAGGUGGUGGUGAGGGAGAUGGUGGAGGUGGGGACUUGUAGACAUAGGGUGGGGGAGGUGAGGGAGACGGUGGAGGUGGGGACUUGUAGACAUAAGGAGGAGGUGAUGACGGAGAUAGUGGAGGUGGGGACUUGUAGACAUAAGGUGGGGGUGGUGAGGCAGAUGGUGGAGGUGGCGACUUGUAGACAUAGGGUGGUGGAGGCGAAUGAGAUGGUGGAGGUGGAGAUUUGUAGAUGUAAGGAGGAGGUGGUGAAGGAGAUGGUGGAGGUGGGGACUUGUAGGCAUAGGAUGGUGGUGAUUGAUAUGGAUGAGGUGGUGACCUGUAAACGUAUGGUGGUGCUCUUGAAGGUGUUUCCGGUUUCUUCCCAUAAUAUGGUUGUGGAGCAUUAUAAGGCUUAUCAUCAUUAGCAGCUACAUUGUUGAUGAUCAACAAGCACAACGCCAAUGCAUAAGCAAGGCAUGGCCAAAUUUUGGCCAUCUUAGUCAAAGUUAGAGCACUGAAAUUCUCUCAACUUCGUUUUUCUUAAGAUGUAUCACCUUUCUCUAUGUGUGGAUGAAAUGUUCAAGACAACCUACGAUUUAUAUAGUCACCCUUCCAAUAUUUUUUUAAAAUUUUAAUGCUUUAUGAUGCACCCAAACUCUCCACCAAACCAAAUAAUUGAAGAUUAUAUAUUCCCUCGACAUUUAUUAAUUUAUUGAGGAAUUUGUAGUUAUACCCCACUAAUUUGGAUACAAACCUUGAAUCGGUCCAAUAAAGUUGUAAAUAAAUCAUUCCCAAUUGUAUUUUAUACCUUAUUAUACAUAUAAUUUGUUCUUGUAAGAUGUGCAACUCUUAAAUGUUCAAUAUUUGAUAUAUGGGAAGCACCUUGUCAUCACGUUCAUAAUUUAAUAGUUUUUAAUAAUGUUUUUUUUUUCAUUUGAUUAUGCAAGAAGUCAAUGCUUUACAUCGUGUUAAAAAAUUGUAGAGAACCGAAACAUCUCCUAUCCAUUAAAUAAUGUAAAAAACACAAAAAUAUUUUCAUUUUUAAGGGUAAAUUAUAUAAAUUGUAUUCAUUCUUGUUCUGGUCACUUGCCUUUAAAUUGAUAAUGUGCAUAAUAACAUGUCAUUUUUCUGACUGAUAUAAUAACACAUUUAGUCAUCAAUAUUCACAUGUUCUAUCAAUUUGAUCUUUAAUCAAUAUAACAUUUCACAUUAACAAAUUUUAUCAAUUUGAUUCUCACACUUUCUAAUCGAAGCUAUCAGAAAGCUUUGACAAUAGAGGUAUUCCAAAACCCAAAAAAGAAAAAAAAAAUCUUCAAUCAUGCAAAUAUAACAUACUUUACUGGGUUUGUUAGGAAUUAUACUAUAUUAGAAUUUUAGUUUCUGGAUCAUUUAAAUUUUUACUUGUCCUUGUAUUUGAUGGUUACCCAAUUUAAAUCUUUAAAGUUGGAUGACCAAAACAGGAACGUAAGCAUAGUUGAGUAUUCAUUUGUAUAGUAUACAUUUUUUUUAUCAAAAGAGAUAAAAGAACAUUUUAACCCGUAUCUAUGGAUAAGAGUUUUAAUCAAGAAAUUUUAUUGUUCACUUGAGAAAAGAAAAAGUAUAUCACAUUAUAUCAAAAUUUCUAAUACUAUAUCAAUAUAAAAAAAUUUAACAUUUAUCAAAAUUUCUAAUGUUUUAAUUAAAAUUUUCGAUAUAUAUAUUUGCAUGAGCACAUGCUAGAAAUUUUAACACAUAAUUUUUUUAUAAUAUAUAAACAUCGAUAAUAGAUUGAAUGUGAGUUUAAGAAUGAUAAUUUUUAGAAUUGACUCGACUCGACCUAUGAACAAAUAAUAAUUGCUUCUCUUUUUCGUAUUUUGCCAAAAUUCAUUUUUUAUACCUAAUAUUUUAUUCCGACAUUCUAAAUAUCGGACAGCUAUUUUUAUUUUAAAGAACAAUAUUCUCAUCUAUGGAUAGAUCUAAUCUCAAUUUUUUAAUUGCAAAAUAAUUGAAAUUUUCCAACUUUGUUGUGCAUAUAAAUAUAUAUUUGGGAUAUUCAUGAAUAUAUAUUUAUGAUAUUUUUUAUUUUCCGUUUAUAUUGGGUCAAUUUACUACUUAAAGAUGAAAAUGAAUUGGUCAACUAAAUAGGAAGGUAUCUAAAUGUUGGAAAUGCAAAUGUAAAUGGUAAGCGAAGUCAACACUACUUCCAUUGCCUGACAAUAACUUAGGUCUAAAUCCAAUCAUGAUAUACACUAAUAAUAUCCAAUAAUUAUCUCAAUAUUGUUGAUUGAGCCUUAACUCGAUUGACAUGAACAUUAUUGUUAAUAUAGAAACACGUGAGUUUAAGUGCGUUUAAGUGCAUUAUCCUCCUAUUUAUGGGUUGAGAUGAGGUACGAAUAGUUUUAAGUAUUGUGUCAAAAAGAACAUAUAUCGCCAGAAUCUAUAACGAGAUUUUCAAAAAAAAUGAUUAUCUCAAUACUUAUAUUAUUAUUUAAAAUUUUGAUUGAAUUGAGAUAUUUUAUGUCUAUUUUAGCUCCACGUUCGAAAUUUAUGAUUAUCUUUCUUAAUAAAACAGUCUUAAAAAUUUGAACCUUUGUCAUUAAACCAAUAACUUGAUUAAUGUAACUUUAGCUUUUGAUAAUGAAUAUUCUAUCUCUGUCAAGCAUUUUUUUUGCCCACGUUCGUGUGAAUCUGGACGAAUCUAGAUAUCUGUUUGUUUAGGAAUUUUCUUUUGCUCAUUUUGUCUAAAUUCAUUAUGUACGUUAAUAUUAAAAAAUUUUAAAAACUAUCUAAAACUCAUAAAAUACAUUAAAACAAAAUUAUAAAGCACUAUAAAAGUUAUUGAAAAUAUUUAUAUAUUGUCAUUUUAAUAAUUUUUAUAAAUUUUAAACUAUUUUAUUAUCAUUUUUAGGAUUCUUUAUAUAAUUUUUAAAAAUAAUUUAUAAUUUUUAAUAAUUACGUCCACAAAGAACCUGAAAAAAUGAAUUUGGACGUUUUUAUGUCCAAGCACAGGCUAGACAUGUAUUUUAAAAAAAUUAUUUUUUUAGAAAUUUUUAAAAUUUGAAAAAUAUAUGUUGACUCGGUCAAUAUAUUUUCAUGUGGCAUACCACAUAUCAUCUUCACGUUGCUUUCGUCAAUCAUGUCAAUGUCCAUUAACAGUUAAAUUGAUCGAUGACAGUUUUUAAUUGUUUACAAAAAGAAUCUAAUUGAUUUUUUUUUAUCACUAUGAACUUAAUUGAUUUAAUUUUUUCAUAAGAUUUAAUUUUUUUCCUUGUACUAUAACAUACUUCCAAAGGAAGAAUCCAGGUUUAAAUCUUAAAGACAACAUUAUUGAGAGGGAUAACUACAAAUCCCGAACAUAAAUUGUAAAACUGAUAAUAUUGUAGUUCAUUGAGAAAUUUCUUUUGUCACGAUUUUGUCUAAUCCAGGGCCACGUAGACAAACUAAUCCACCUCAUCUCCCGCAUUGGAUUUCACCUUAAAUGGAAAAAAAUGGCACCGUUAACAAUUUUAUUAAAACAUUCAACUAAAGAAAAUACAUGGACUUAUAGCAAAAUUAGACCUAAUUUCUGUUAUAGUAUAGUUUAAGGUUUAAUAACGCCAAAAGAAAAAAACCAUAAACCUUAAUCUUGGGAUAAAGUUGGAUAUUACAAUUACAUUUAUUUUCUCCUCUCUAUAAGUUUAAAUAAUGAAAUUCAAGCUCGAUUGACAUAGAUGCAAUUGCAACAAUAAAAAGAACAUGCGCUCAAAUCCUUUUAUGAGUUAAAGGUUUGAGGGUAUGAGUAUAAGUUGACGUUGAAUCAAAAAAAGUGAAUCUCUUAUCAUUGAUAUUGCUAUUUUUUAAAAAAAGUCAUUGAUUAUUACAUUUCUCCUUUAGAAUUAUUUUAAAUUAAUUGUAAUAAAAUCAAAUUCAGUUUGGGUGUAUAUUGCUUGGGUUGGUGCAUAAUUUUAGAGUACAAAAAAAAAAAACAUUAGGUUAAGCAAUUUGAUGGUGCUUAGAAUUUAAAGAGAGGAUUUGUUAAUUAAUUAAUUAACAUCACAAAAUUCAAUAAGUUUGAAAUAAGAAUGGUAGAAGGAAAGGGGAGUAAAAGCAACAUAAUUAAAUGAAGAAAAGAUAAAUGAAAUAAAUGGAAAAUAUAUUAUGAAGUAAACAAUUACAAAGUAAAACCUCAACGCUUGAUAAAGAUAUCAAUGUAUCAAUUGUAACAAUAUAUAUUACUCAAAAACAAUCAAGAAAUCAUUCGAUGAUUUUCCACAUCAAUUUAUUUCUUCUCUUUAUUUUUCCAACUGUGAGAAACAUCCGUGUUAAUUUCAAAUAAAGGGCACGAGCAAGAAUUUCAAAGAAAGGGAAAUUGUUCCAAGAAACUAUAAUUUAGUUUCCUUGAACUUAGAAAAACAUUUGAUUUGGUUGAAUAAUGGUGUCGAUAUUGGCUUUUAGAGAUGCGGAAAAGGAAAUGAAGAUGGAGGAAAUGUAACUUUUUAGUAAUAUGGAGGUGGAGGCUUGUAGACAUAAGGUGGAGGAAGAGAAGGAGAAGGUGGAGGUGGAGGUGGAGGUGGGGACUUGUACACAUAUGGUGGAGGAGGUGAAGGAGAUGGUGGAGGUGGUGACUUAUAAAUGUAAGGAGGAGGUGGUGAGGGAGAUAGUGGAGGUGGAGACUUGUAAACAUAAGGUGGAGGAGGUGACAGAGAUGGUGGAGGUGGAGACUUAUAAACAUAAGGAGGAGGAGGUGAAGGAGAUGGUGGAGGUGGUGAGGAAGAUGGUGGUGGUGGAGACUUGUAAACAUAAGGAGGGGGAGGUGAAUGAGAUGGUGGAGGUGGGGACUUGUUAACAUAGGGUGGAGGUGGUGAGGGAGAUGAUGGAGGUGGGGACUUGUAGAUAUAAGGUGGAGGAGGUGAAGGAGAUGGCGGAGGUGGAGACUUGUAGACAUAGGGUGGAGGAGGAGAGGGAGAUGGCAGAGAUGGGGACUUGUAGAUAUAAGGUGGAGGAGGUGAAGGAGAUGGCGGAGGUGGAGACUUGUAGACAUAGGGUGGAGGAGGAGAGGGAGAUGGCAGAGAUGGGGACUUGUAGACAUAGGGUGGGGGAGGUGAGGGAGAUGGCGGAGGUGGAGACUUGUAAACAUAGGGUGGAGGAGGUGAGGGAGAUGGUGGAGGUGGUGACUUGUAGACAUAAGGUGGAGGUGAGGGAGAUGGCGGAGGUGGAGACUUGUAGACAUAGGGUGGUGGAGGAGAGGGAGAUGGCGGAGGUGGAGACUUGUAUACAUAGGGUGGAGGAGGAGAGGGAGAUGGCGGAGGUGGAGACUUGUAGACAUAGGGUGGAGGUGGUGAAGGUGAUGGUGGUGGUGGGGACUUGUAGACAUAGGGUGGAGGUGGUAAAGGUGAUGGUGGUGGUGUAGACCUGUAAAUAUAAGGAGGAGGUGGAGAGGGAGAUGGUGAAGGUGGAGACUUGUAGACAUAAGGCGGAAGAGGUGAAGGAGAUGGUGGAGGUGGUGACUUGUAGGCAUAAGGAGN
rnacentral:lncRNA from 1 species